ensembl:lncRNA
CACUUCUUCUUUCAGUAACAGCUGCUUUCUUCAUUUUAUGGAGCCUAUUCUUCUAACACACUGGGCCAUCAUUUCUAAUCAUUUUUCCUUUUUCUGUGCCAGGACCCAGAUGAGACAAUAGAGGAGGAAGUUAUUAAGACAGGCACUGCCUCUGCUGUAACAGAGUGUGUCAUUAAGGUAAAGACGGACCCCAACAAAGUUAUCUGACUUUUUCUCUUUUAUGGCAGACAGUGAUUCAUAAUCAUUAUUCCUCACAUUCCUCGUUGUGAAAUGAAUAGUUCCGACUGAUUGAAUGAGCCCUGCUCAAAUUCAUUGUAAAAUGCCAAUAAACACACACACAUGUAACUGUGUAUUCUGUGUUGAUGUGUUAAUUUGCUAUAGUGCUUAGCAACCACAAGCAGCCUUCUGUUAGAAUAAUGAGCUUAACUGUCAUUCCAAAGAUUGGGCUCGUAAGAUAUUUAAUGUUAUUGGAAGAAGGGUCUUAUGCUCACAAAAACUGCAUUUGAUCAAAAAUACAGUGAAAACAGAAAUAUUAUUACAAGUUGAAAUAACGUUUCUAUCUGAAUAUAUUUUAAAAUGUAUUUUAUUCCAGUGAUAUAAAGCUGAAUUUUCAGCAGCCAUCAGAAUCACAUGGUCUUUUAGAAAUCAUUCUUAAUAUGCUGAUAUCUUAUUAGCGAUGCUGAAUUGUUAGUUUAAAAUUGCUUAAUACUUUACAUUUAUACAAUACAAACAGAGUGGGAUCUAUAUACAAUGAAUAAACUCCAUGAAAUUAGCCCCAGUGUUGGCUAAUGUACUUUUAGAUUCCUAAAUGCUUCCUUUAACCAUGGUGAAAUCACUGCAAAGCUGCUAGUGGCUUACUGUUUUUUGUUUGUUUGUUUUUAGGAAUCAUCUCCUGAAGAAGUAAUUGAUGUUCCUGCAGCUAAGCAUGUAGUACAGGACACUGACACAGGAAGUUGUUUACUGGAGCCUUCUGGCUUCCCUGAAAUGCCUGGCAUAGACAGCAGACCAGUUAUUGAAGAGAAAAGUUCUCUACCUGCACUAACAUCCCAACACUUGAAAGAAUUUACAAAUGAUAGUUGUCUGAAGCAUGAUGGUGCAAAUAUAGCUAAGGAAAAGCAAAACGAGUGCACGGAAACCAAGCUGACUGAAGCAGUACCAGCAAAGCCAGGAAUAUGCUCAGAAAUCAUCAUGUUAAAAUCAAGAGAUGGAAGUGAAUUAAAUGAAGAGUAUGAAUCUGUAGAUCAGAAUGAAGUAACUGUAAACACAGAAACAGGUACAAGUGAUCAAGACAAAACAACAGCUGCAAAUCAACCUGUAAAUGUUACUGAUGGUGACCAGACCCAGACAGAUACUAAACCCAUAGACCCCGCAGCUCCACUUUUGCUCUCCUCCCAGCUUAUAGAAUGUGUGCCAGAGGAAGAUACAACACUGGAAAUACAGCGAGAUCUGAUUGAGGCUAUCAUUCACGAGAGCAGCAGCCAGUCUCAAGAACACACAUUUCAGCACACAGCAGCUGUCAGUGAUGGAGGAGGUGAAGAUCAAGAGAGUUCAGUCCAGCUUCUCACCUCAUUGAAGGAAACAUCAGAGACCCUUGGAUCAUGUCAGGAAAUCAGUUCUUCAGAGACGAGACAGCAUCUGUUAGACAUUCCGGUGUUUGCAUUUAAUUCCAGUGAAUCACAGAUGGGAGACUCAAACAAACUCCUCAAGGACCUUUCAAGCAUCAAGCGUCUGCAAAGCCACACCUGGACUUUGGCACUUGAGCGGCGGAGAACAGUGGGACAGAAUAAUGUUGACCUUCAGAGAUGUUCUGAAGCUCUUCUGAACGGUCUGCAGGGUCUCCUGGAGUUGGGCUCUGAGCGGCUGCUACGCAGUCAGGAUGCACAACCACAAAACUGCAGUCAGCUGCACUGUCUGCUCACAGAACACAAGGUACACCGCUGACCAACUUAGUAAUUAUAUUAUUAUUUAAUAAAUAAUAACUUUUUCUGACUUCUUGAAUGACU